rnacentral:sRNA from 1 species
GGGAGGUGAAGCAUCCAUUGUUCAAGAUGGGAUCGUUUACAUCAACGAGUUACAAAGACUAGUUAGCGAGCUUAAGUAUUUGGUUGAGAAGAAAAAAUGCGGUGCAAGGCACAACAACAUUGAAGUAGACAAUAAAAACACGAUUUAUGGGACUAGCAAGAUAGAGCAUCCAUUCUCCAAAAACAAAAACACUUUUAACUGUUUGAUUCGUACACUUAGAUUUGUACACCACUUUUAGUGUACAUAUAUAUAUAAAAAUACACAACGUACACUUUACAUUUGUACACUAAAAGUGUUGUACAAUCCAAGUGUACGAAUCAAAUAGUGAAAAGUGACUACUUUGCAAAUUAUGAAUAGUAAAGUGACUACUUUUCCAAUUAAGUUUGAAAAAGUGACUAGUUUGCCAACACACCCAACUUUCUUUAGAGCUGAAAAUGUCAAGACAAUGUUAUAUAAGAAAGAUGAAUGCACUUUGAUUACGGAGAAAGAAAAGAAGGAAUGAUUCAAAGAAAAGAAGCAGUGAUGAAUGAUGAAAUUCAUCCCCAACCCCAAGCAUCUACGA